rnacentral:rRNA from 1 species
GUUUGUUUGCAUGAGUCCAAGCCAUAAUGUAUAUGGUUUUGUCAAACUUGAGAGUUUGAUCCUGGCUCAGAACGAACGCUGGCGGCAAGCCUAACACAUGCAAGUCGAACGGACAAUUAUUUAUAGCCUCUGGCUAUAGGAAAUUGUUAGUGGCAGACGGGUGAGUAAUGCGUAGGAAUCUACCUAGUAGUACGGAAUAGCCAUUAGAAAUGGUGGGUAAUACUGUAUAAUCCCCGAGGGGGAAAGAUUUAUCGCUAUUAGAUGAGCCUACGUUAGAUUAGCUAGUUGGUGAGGUAAUGGCUUACCAAGGCUAUGAUCUAUAGCUGGUCUGAGAGGACGAUCAGCCACACUGG